rnacentral:lncRNA from 1 species
CAGAAAAGCGGUACUGGGACGAACACCACCACCUCCGGUGCGCUCCCCUCCGGGCUGCGCCCGUCCCCGCUCCAGCGCCGCGACCAAAUCCAGCCCCCGAGCACCCCGCCGGCAGCACCCAGCCCCAAUCCCCCCCCCCAUUUCCAGCGGCGGCGACGCGCACCGCCCGCCUCCCGGCCCCGCCACAACGCGAGGGCCCGCGCAGGGCCCGCACCGACACCGACACCGCCGCCUCCCCGGGCACCGCCGCCGGCUGCCGGCCGCCGCCUCCCUCCCCACCGCGCUGCUGCGGCCUGGGCACAGGGGGGCCCCGCCGGCACCCCGCGGCCUGCCCUUUUGUUCCGGGCCUCGCAGCCCGGCCCCGCCGCGGGGAGAGGGGGGGGGGGGCGCGGCCGUUGGCGGCCGUUGGUGACCGUUGGAGCCCCCCCCCCUCCCCCGGGGUGCCGCCGCCCGGGACUCACCCGCAGGGUCGGGCCGGGCCCGGCGCGCGCCGCUCCGCCACCUGCCGCCGCCGCGGGACGCGCCGACGUCACGCGCAGGAGGGGGGGGGGCGGGGGGGGGGGGGCGCUGCCGCGCCACCGUGACGCGACCGGGAGGGAGGGGCCGCAAGCGGAGGGGAGGGGCGCGCGCGCCGGUGGCGUCACGGGGGGAGGGCGCGGCCACUCCCGCGGCUAUCCCGAGGAGGUGUCAUGGCGGCCUAAGGCCGGGCGUUGGCAGCUGUGCAGAGUCACGGAGGCGUUAGGGCUGGAAAAGACCGCCGUGAUCAUUUGGUCCGAUCGCCCGCCCCACCAGUGUCACUCACAAAACCACGUCCCUAAGCACCACGUCCCUAAGCACCGCGUCCCUAAGCACCGCAUCCCUAAGCACCACGUCCCUAAGCACCACGUCCCUAAGCACCACGUCCCUAAGCACCACGUCCAGCCUUCCCUCAAGUCACGGCCCCAGCUCUGCCCCGAGGAGGGCUGGAUGCUACUCUGGCCUCCUGCCUGUGGGACGGGACCAGGGUGUAGCUGGGGGCUGGGCUGUCACAAAACCGCAGCUGCUGCCUUGGAGGUAGCGUACGGGAAGGAGAGGUGUGUUUUCUGCCGCCAGCAGAAACAAUUGAAAGGUACGCCAUGUUCUUGUCAACAGCAGAUGAAUAAACCAUGGUGUGAAAUGAUAAUCCAUGCAUCACUUCAGAUGGAAUCACAGAAUCAUUAA